ensembl:lncRNA
GGCUACACGGGCAUCCAUAUGCUAUUUACAGCUAUCUUAUUCCUUCAAUUCUACCCAGUAGGGUGGUCCUCUCCAUGAUGAUGCAUAAACAGAGAAAAACUGUAGGAGAGAGAAAGAUUCCCCACUGUAAUUCUAUUGACUUGAAACGGUGCGACCUUCCUCUGUGAAACUCUAACAACAUAUUAGAACACAGCCCUUGUUCAGAAAACAACCCAUCGCAGCUGCACAAGAGAAAGCCCGGCAGGCCAGUUAAUCCCCAGCUCAGUGAGAGAGAUCAUCCUCUCUCUGAUUCCUUGGUGACAGCCCUAGAGACUUCCGGGGUCUAUUUCUACCCAGAAGAAGAGGCACCAUGUCCCCAUACUGUUCUUCAACCGUGAUCAAGAUGGACCAUGUCUAAGUGUGAGCGUGCAGUUCAGUCUUCAUAGAGCAAUGAGCUCCUGACCUCCAGGCCAAGACUGAUGA